UACGUAGGUGGCUAGCGUUGCUCGGAAUGACUGGGCGUAAAGGGCGCGCAGGCGGCUCAUUUUGUCAGGCGUGAAAUCCCCGGGCUUAACCUGGGAACUGCGUUUGAAACUACAAGGCUAGAGUGUGGCAGAGGGGGGUGGAAUUCCACGUGUAGCAGUGAAAUGCGUAGAGAUGUGGAGGAACACCGAUGGCGAAGGCAGCCCCCUGGGUUAACACUGACGCUCAGGCACGAAAGCGUGGGGAGCAAACAGG
rnacentral:rRNA from 1 species